rnacentral:rRNA from 1 species
CGGACGGGUGAGUAACGCGUGGGUAACCUGCCUCACACUGGGGGAUAACAGUUAGAAAUAGCUGCUAAUACCGCAUAAGCGCACAGUUCCGCAUGGAACAGUGUGAAAAACUCCGGUGGUGUGAGAUGGACCCGCGUCUGAUUAGCCAGUUGGCGGGGUAACGGCCCACCAAAGCGACGAUCAGUAGCCGGCCUGAGAGGGUGAACGGCCACAUUGGGACUGAGACACGGCCAA